UCUUUUCUCACCCUUUUGGGUGAGAUUUUUCUCUCAACUUCUCCCUUUUAAAGAACCCUAAAAGACAAAAUUGAGGAUGAAACUGAAGGUCAAGAAAGGUAGGAACAUUGGAUAGAAGAAUAGAAGAUCGAAGAGAAGGCCGAAGUAAGUACAUCCCUACUUGGGUUUGGAUUUUUUUCACCUUUUCUUCUAUUCUCUUUAGAUGAUCAUGUGUAGCUAUCUCUUUGUUGUUAUUUGGAUUGGAUGUAUGUUCUUGCUGUGAUUAUUACUUAGAAGUAAAGGGUUGGACAUGUAGAUGUCAUGAAUGAAUGAAUGAUAUGCUUGGAUUAUGGUGUUUUUAAUAUAAUUUAUGCUAUGGCUUGAAUUACGUCAAAUAAACUCUUUCCUUUGCUUAAUUGUGAUUGAAUUGAGUUAAGUUGUUAAUCCAAAAUUGAAGUAAGGUGUGUAUGGACCAAGCCACACCCCAAUUCAACCACUUGCGCUAGGAUUUCUUUAGUGGCAUUUCAUCGAACACUUGGCGUGCAUUUCGGAUAUCACUGAAUUGAGUGACACAAUUGAGGGAUGGGAUUUUUGGAGUGUCAAAUAGUGACUUAGCACCCUUGUUAAGUGUUUGUGAGGUCUCUAAGGUCUUCAAAC
rnacentral:lncRNA from 1 species